rnacentral:rRNA from 2 species
AGUGAAGCGGGAUGAGCUCAAAUUUAAAAUCUGGCUGGUUUACCAGUCCGAGUUGUAGUUUAAAGAAGCGUUUUCGGUGGCAGGCCGGGUAUAAAUCCUUUGGAACAGGGUAUCAUAGAGGGUGAGAAUCCCGUCUUUGACUCGGCUGAUGUUACUAUGUGAUACGUUUUCAAAGAGUCGAGUUGUUUGGGAAUGCAGCUCAAAAUGGGUGGUAAAUUUCAUCUAAGGCUAAAUAUUGGCGAGAGACCGAUAGCGAACAAGUACCGUGAGGGAAAGAUGAAAAGAACUUUGAAAAGAGAGUUAAACAGUGCGUGAAAUUGUUGAAAGGGAAACGUUUGACACCAGCUAUGUAGGCGGAAAAUCAGUCAAGCGCAGUGAGGGGCUGGUGUUUGUCCGGACCGCAAGGCCGGCGGAUAUCUCAUCUUUGCUGUGGGUGAUGCACUUUUUCGUUCGCAGGUCAACAUCAGUUUCGCUUGCUGGACAAAACCCCGAGAGAAGGUAGCAGCUUUGGCUGUGUUAUAGCUCUGGGGCGAUACAGUGGGUGGGACUGAGGAUUCGCAGUGUGUGCUCUCGGGCAAGGCUGACUGGGUGCUCUGGGGUCGUUUGGCGUACAAUGCUUGCAUUUUGCGUCUUGUCUUCUUCAGACUCGCUUAGUUCGGCUCUUCCACGCUUAGGAUGUUGACUUAAUGGUUUUAAACGACCCGUCUUGAAACACGGACCAAGGAGUCUAACAUGCAUGCAAGUGUUUGGGUGGCAAACCCAUGCGCGUAAUGAAAGUGAACGUAGGUGCGAUCCGCAAGGUGCAGCAUCGACCGAUCUUGAUAUUUUUGGAUAGAUUUGAGUAAGAGCAUGUAUGCUGGGACCCGAAAGAUGGUGAACUAUGCCUGAAUAGGGUGAAGCCAGAGGAAACGCUGGUGGAGGCUCGUAGCGAUUCUGACGUGCAAAUCGAUCGUCAAAUUUGGGUAUAGGGCGAAAGACUA